rnacentral:rRNA from 1 species
UACAGAGGUCUCAAGCGUUGUUCGGAUUCAUUGGGCGUAAAGGGUGCGUAGGUGGCGGGGUAAGUCAGGUGUGAAAUCUCGAGGCUCAACCUCGAAACCGCACUUGAUACUGCCUUGCUCGAGUACUGGAGAGGAGAUUGGAAUUUACGGUGUAGCAGUGAAAUGCGUAGAUAUCAGGAGGAACACCGGUGGCGAAGGCGCUCAUCUGGCCCAAUACUGACGCUGAGGCGCGAAAGCUAGGGGAGCAAACGGG